rnacentral:rRNA from 1 species
UAAGACGUAGGGGGCGAGCGUUGUCCGGAUUCAUUGGGCGUAAAGAGCGCGUAGGCGGCCUGUUAAGUCGGGUGUGAAAACACGGGGCUCAACCCCGUGCCUGCAUCCGAUACUGGCAGGCUUGAGGCAGGUAGGGGAGAUCGGAAUUCCCGGUGUAGCGGUGAAAUGCGCAGAUAUCGGGAGGAACACCGGUGGCGAAGGCGGAUCUCUGGGCCUGUCCUGACGCUGAGGCGCGAAAGCUGGGGGAGCAAACAGGAUUAGAUACCCUGGUAGUCCCAGCCGUAAACGAUGGGUGCUAGGUGUGGGGGGAUAUUGACCCCUUCCGUGCCGAAGCUAACGCAUUAAGCACCCCGCCUGGGGAGUACGGCCGCAAGGCUA